rnacentral:rRNA from 1 species
UACGGGGGGGGCAAGCGUUGUUCGGAAUUACUGGGCGUAAAGGGCUCGUAGGUGGCCAACUAAGUCAGACGUGAAAUCCCUCGGCUUAACCGGGGAACUGCGUCUGAUACUGGAUGGCUUGAGUCCGGGAGAGGUGAGUGGAACUGCGAGUGUAGAGGUGAAAUUCGUAGAUAUUCGCAAGAACACCAGUGGCGAAGGCGGCUCACUGGCCCGGUACUGACGCUGAGGUGCGAAAGCGUGGGGAGCAAACAGG